CUGUAAUCUCAGAGUCCUGUAAUCCACUCCUCCUCUUCUCCUCCUCCUACGCCAAGUUCCUACACAGAGGAGGAGGAGGAGAGCAGGAGUGGAUUACAGGACUCUGAGAUUACAU